rnacentral:rRNA from 1 species
AGUGAACGCUGGCGGUAGGCCUAACACAUGCAAGUCGAACGGCAGCACAGUAAGAGCUUGCUCUUACGGGUGGCGAGUGGCGGACGGGUGAGGAAUACAUCGGAAUCUACUUUUUCGUGGGGGAUAACGUAGGGAAACUUACGCUAAUACCGCAUACGACCUACGGGUGAAAGCAGGGGAUCUUCGGACCUUGCGCGAUUGAAUGAGCCGAUGUCGGAUUAGCUAGUUGGCGGGGUAAGGGCCCACCAAGGCGACGAUCCGUAGCUGGUCUGAGAGGAUGAUCAGCCACACUGGAACUAAGACACGGUCCAGACUCCUACGGGAGGCAGCAGUGGGGAAUAUUGGACAAUGGGCGCAAGCCUGAUCCAGCCAUACCGCGUGGGUGAAGAAGGCCUUCGGGUUGUAAAGCCCUUUUGUUGGGAAAGAAAAGCAGCAGGUUAAUACCCCGCUGUUCUGACGGUACCCAAAGAAUAAGCACCGGCUAACUUCGUG